GCAUCAUUAGCUCAAUGGUUAGAGCAGGGGCCUUUUAAGCCUUGGGUUGCGGGUUCGAAUCCCUCAUGGUGCA
rnacentral:tRNA from 1 species